rnacentral:rRNA from 1 species
ACUCCUACGGGAGGCAGCAGUGGGGAAUUUUGGACAAUGGGCGCAAGCCUGAUCCAGCAAUGCCGCGUGCAGGACGAAGGCCUUCGGGUUGUAACUGCUUUUGUACGGAGCGAAAAGGCUCUCUCUAAUACAGGGGGUUCAUGACGGUACCGUAAGAAUAAGCACCGGCUAACUACGUGCCAGCAGCCGCGGUAAU